UUAUUUUUAUUUUUAAAUUGUGAAAAAAUUAGUUUUUGGGAUUUAGAGUUUGACAUUCCACAACAUUUUGCCUUUGACCCACUUACUUGAUUGUGUCAUGUGUUAAUCUUCAGGAGCAACUCAUACAGUAUACACCCACUGUAUGUUGUUGCAAAACAAAACAAAGUGUUAUUGAUAUGAGGGUCAGUGUGACUGACUUCAUAAUACAGGUACAAAUGAGCGAAACUAGUCAAUUUACUUUGAUAACAUAUCGAGUGAGUAACACUUAAAGCAAGAAGCUGUAUUUUUGUUUUGUUCAUAAGAAAGUGUGUUGUCCUUGGUGACAGUCGAUCUCAGCAGUACUCGACUGCGCUUCCAGAGACGAAGCGGCUGCUCUGGACGACCAUCUGGACACUGGACGUGUCGCCACUCAAAGUGGCAGAGGCAGUUGAGUCCGUGUUUUUAUCCAAAAUAUUCUCCACUCCAUCUGAGUUGGGUGUUUUGAAACUGUGGGAUGAAGUGGAACCAAACCGGCACAAAAAUGAACCAAGGCCUUUCCUGCUAAUCACUGCUAAGGACCAAAGGGAACACAAAUGAAUAAUAGAUCAAAUGCUUCAGAAAGCUGUAGAGACACAAGACAUAAGGAUGACAAAUGCUCCACCAUCAGCCGUGGAGGGUCGGCAACGCAAGACCAAACACAGCUCUCGGACCAUACCAUGAGAUAAUGAGCGGACUGUCCGAUAAGAGUGAGGAACUCUGAUGUGGCAACACUGUCUGUGAAAAGCGUGUUGUUUUCAAAACAUGAAACACACACUCUUGAGUGCAAGCAUGUUCAAAUGAUACACAAAACAUCUGGGCUUGGGGAACAUCCGUCGGGGUAAACAGUGGUACGGACCAGGAUUGUUUGUUUGCUCUUUGACGUAAAGACACAAUAAAAUAGCUGUUAGAG